UAGAGAGCGAGGAAGGAGCCACGAGG
rnacentral:misc_RNA from 1 species